rnacentral:rRNA from 1 species
UACAGAGGUCUCAAGCGUUGUUCGGAUUCAUUGGGCGUAAAGGGUGCGUAGGUGGCGUCGUAAGUCAGGUGUGAAAUCUCGGAGCUUAACUCCGAAACUGCAUUCGAUACUGCCGUGCUUGAGGACUGGAGAGGAGACUGGAAUUUACGGUGUAGCGGUGAAAUGCGUAGAUAUCGUAAGGAACACCAGUGGCGAAAGCGGCUUCCUGGUCCAGCAUCGACGUUCAGGCACGAAAGCGUGGGGAGCAAACAGG